GCAAUAGUAUAGGGAACUCAGGAGGUGGGUCAGCGAUCCCCGGUGAAAGGGGGUGGUGCUGUGACCGUCUACCAAGCGCUAACGCUAAUGAUUGCUUUUGCCAGUUUAGUUGUUACGAUUAUCGCUUUAACACAAAAAAAGUAACCCACCCUUGAGCCUGCCAGCAUUUAGAGUGGAUUACGUCCUGAUUUAUUUGCUGAUGCCCCUUGAAGGAACAUGCUAUUGCAUGACCGUUUGGUGUUGCGAGCACCGGCG
rnacentral:sRNA from 1 species